rnacentral:rRNA from 1 species
GGCGAGGAGAGAAUCCUAAGGUGAUCGAGAGAACUCUCGUUAAGGAACUCGGCAAAAUGACCCCGUAACUUCGGGAGAAGGGGUGCUCUGUUAGGGUGCAAGCCCGAGAGAGCCGCAGUGAAUAGGCCCAGGCGACUGUUUAGCAAAAACACAGGUCUCUGCGAAGCCGUAAGGCGAAGUAUAGGGGCUGACGCCUGCCCGGUGCUGGAAGGUUAAGAGGAGCGCUUAGCGUAAGCGAAGGUGCGAAUUGAAGCCCCAGUAAACGGCGGCCGUAACAAUAACGGUCCUAAGGUAGCGAAAUUCCUUGUCGGGUAAGUUCCGACCCGCACGAAAGGCGCAACGAUCUGGGCACUGUCUCAACGAGAGACUCGGUGAAAUUAUAGUACCUGUGAAGAUGCAGGUUACCCGCGACAGGACGGAAAGACCCCGUGGAGCUUUACUGCAGCCUGAUAUUGAAUGUUGGUACAGCUUGUACAGGAUAGGUAGGAGCCUUGGAAACCGGAGCGCCAGCUUCGGUGGAGGCAUCGGUGGGAUACUACCCUGGCUGUAUUGACCUUCUAACCCGCCGCCCUUAUCGGGCGGGGAGACAGUGUCAGGUGGGCAGUUUGACUGGGGCGGUCGCCUCCUAAAAGGUAACGGAGGCGCCCAAAGGUUCCCUCAGAAUGGUUGGAAAUCAUUCGCAGAGUGUAAAGGCACAAGGGAGCUUGACUGCGAGACCUACAAGUCGAGCAGGGACGAAAGUCGGGCUUAGUGAUCCGGUGGUUCCGCAUGGAAGGGCCAUCGCUCAACGGAUAAAAGCUACCCCGGGGAUAACAGGCUUAUCUCCCCCAAGAGUCCACAUCGACGGGGAGGUUUGGCACCUCGAUGUCGGCUCAUCGCAUCCUGGGGCUGUAGUCGGUCCCAAGGGUUGGGCUGUUCGCCCAUUAAAGCGGUACGCGAGCUGGGUUCAGAACGUCGUGAGACAGUUCGGUCCCUAUCCGUCGCGGGCGCAGGAAAUUUGAGAGGAGCUGUCCUUAGUACGAGAGGACCGGGAUGGACGCACCGCUGGUGUACCAGUUGUUCUGCCAAGGGCAUCGCUGGGUAGCUAUGUGCGGACGGGAUAAGUGCUGAAAGCAUCUAAGCAUGAAGCCCCCCUCAAGAUGAGAUUUCCCAUUCCGCAAGGAAGUAAGAUCCCUGAAAGAUGAUCAGGUUGAUAGGUCUGAGGUGGAAGUGUGGCGACACAUGGAGCUGACAGAUACUAAU